rnacentral:rRNA from 1 species
GUAUCAUGGCUCAGGACGAACGCUGGCGGCACGCCUAACACAUGCAAGUCGAGCGGAGAUUGAGAGCUUGCUCUCAUGAUCAGCGGCGGACGGGUGAGUAACACGUGAGCAACCUGCCUUUCAGAGGGGGACAACAGUUGGAAACGACUGCUAAUACCGCAUAACAUUGCCGAACGGCAUCGUUUGGCAAUUCAAAGGAGCAAUCCGCUGAAAGAUGGG